GGGCACAUGGUCUAGGGGUAUGAUGUAAGGCAUCUCAAACUCAUACAGUUGUUUUCUUGAUUUCUAACGUUACAAUAGUUUCGCUUCGCAUCUUUAAAGUGUGUCUGUGAAAGGUCGUGGGUUCAAUUCCCACUGUGUCCA
rnacentral:tRNA from 1 species